ACGUGUUGAAGAAUGAUGAUCGAU
rnacentral:snRNA from 1 species